UACGGAGGGGGCAAGCGUUAUUCGGAAUUAUUGGGCGUAAAGGGCGCGUAGGCGGCUAGAUGUGUCAAAGGUGAAAUCCCUCGGCUCAACUGAGGAACUGCCUUUGAAACUGUACGGCUUGAGGCCGGGAGGGGGUAGCGGAAUUCCCAGUGUAGCGGUGAAAUGCGUAGAUAUUGGGAGGAACACCAGUGGCGAAGGCGGCUCCCUGGACCGGUUCUGACGCUGAUGCGCGAAAGCGUGGGUAGCAAACAGG
rnacentral:rRNA from 1 species